UUGAACGCUGGCGGCAUGCCUUACACAUGCAAGUCGAACGCGAAAGCGGGGCAACCCGCAAGUAGAGUGGCGAACGGGUGAGUAAUACAUCGGAACGUGUCCAGUAGCGGGGGAUAACCUCUCGAAAGAGAGGCUAAUACCGCAUACGACCUACGGGUGAAAGAGGGGGAUCGCAAGACCUCUCACUAUUGGAGCGGCCGAUGUCGGAUUAGCUAGUUGGCGGGGUAACGGCCCACCAAGGCUACGAUCCGUAGCUGGUCUGAGAGGACGGCCAGCCACACUGGAACUGAGACACGGUCCAGACUCCUACGGGAGGCAGCAGUGGGGAAUUUUGGACAAUGGGCGCAAGCCUGAUCCAGCCAUGCCGCGUGAGUGAAGAAGGCCUUCGGGUUGUAAAGCUCUUUCGGCGGGGACGAAAUGGUCCGUGUUAACACCACGGAUCUCUGACGGUACCCGCAGAAGAAGCACCGGCUAACUACGUGCCAGCAGCCGCGGUAAUACGUAGGGUGCAGGCGUUAAUCGGAAUUACUGGGCGUAAAGCGUGCGCAGGCGGUCUCUUAAGACAGGUGUGAAAUCCCCGGGCUUAACCUGGGAACUGCGCUUGUAACUGAGAGGCUGGAAUGUGGCAGAGGGGGUGGAAUUCCACGUGUAGCAGUGAAAUGCGUAGAGAUGUGGAGGAACACCGAUGGCGAAGGCAGCCCCCUGGGCUAACACUGACGCUCAUGCACGAAAGCGUGGGGAGCAAACAGGAUUAGAUACCCUGGUAGUCCACGCCCUAAACUAUGUCAACUGGUUGUCGGGGAAGCAAUUCCUUGGUAACGAAGCUAACGCGUGAAGUUGACCGCCUGGGGAGUACGGCCGCAAGGUUAAAACUCAAAGGAAUUGACGGGGACCCGCACAAGCGGUGGAUUAUGUGGAUUAAUUCGAUGCAACGCGAAAAACCUUACCUACCCUUGACAUGCCAGGAAGCCUUCAGAGAUGGAGGUGUGCCCGAAAGGGAACCUGGACACAGGUGCUGCAUGGCUGUCGUCAGCUCGUGUCGUGAGAUGUUGGGUUAAGUCCCGCAACGAGCGCAACCCUUGCCAUUAGUUGCUACAUUUAGUUGGGCACUCUAAUGGGACUGCCGGUGACAAACCGGAGGAAGGUGGGGAUGACGUCAAGUCCUCAUGGCCCUUAUGGGUAGGGCUUCACACGUAAUACAAUGGCCGGUACAGAGGGCAGCCAACUCGCGAGAGGGAGCUAAUCCCAGAAAGCCGGUCGUAGUCCGGAUUGCAGUCUGCAACUCGACUGCAUGAAGCCGGAAUCGCUAGUAAUCGCGGAUCAGCAUGUCGCGGUGAAUACGUUCCCGGGUCUUGUACACACCGCCCGUCACACCAUGGGAGUGGGUUUCACCAGAAGUAGUUAGCCUAACCGCAAGGAGGGCGACUACCACGGUGAGAUUCAUGACUGGGGUG
rnacentral:rRNA from 1 species